rnacentral:pre_miRNA from 1 species
GUUCCAGUGUGCUAUGAUGUAUAUUUCUAAAAAUUUUCUAUAUAUCACAGCCCCGCUUGGAACGC